AACGAACGCUGGCGGCAUGCCUAACACAUGCAAGUCGAACGAGACCUUCGGGUCUGGUGGCGCACGGGUUCGUAACGCGUGGGAACCUGCCCUUAGGUUCGGAAUUGCUCCCCGAAAGGGGUCCUAAUACCUGAUAAUGUCUCCGGACCAAAGAUUUAUCGCCUUUGGUUGGGCCCGCGUUUUUUUAGGUAGUUGGUAGGGUAAAAGCGUACCACGGCGUUGAUCCAUAGGUGGUCUGAGAGGAUGAUCAGGCACACUGGGAAUGAGCCACGCCCCAGCGGCAGGCGGGAGGGGGCAGUGGGGCAUAAUGGACGAUGGGCGAAAGCAUGAACGCGCCGUGCGGGGUGAGGGAUGACGGCUUUAGGGUUGUAAAGCCUAUUGACCAGGGAUGAUAAUGCGGGACCCAGGAAAAAAGGCCCCGGCUAACUCCGUG
rnacentral:rRNA from 1 species